GAGGGGCGGGGUUAAGGAGAGGAUUGUAAUGGUAUCCAUCGAUUUCCAAAGUUUUGGAAAAAACCUUCAAGUCUUCACCCUUCGUUUUUAACUGCGUAAUGAGAAGGAUGGUGAAAGAAUUCCUAAAUCUUCACAGCUGGCACAAGGAAAAAAAUGAAAAGAAUCUUUAAUAGACCAAGUGAGAGGGCAGUAGCGUCUUACAUCUAAUAUGAAGGAGAUCAGAAAUGUAAAAAGGAUUCUAUGCGGGUUUAAUAUAACUGGAGAACAACUGUAUACACCUUACACAUUUAAUGCUUUUGCAGUUAAACUGCGAAUUAACGAGAGCCGAGUUUCUUUGUUAAAAAUCACCCAGCAAAAAUGUUCUGAGUCAAUUCAUUGGUAAAUUCCCUGCAGAAAAUUAUUAACUGCGGAGUUCUUUCCGGCUUCGGCGCGCCAAAACGAAGACAUUUGAAAUAUAUCCCCAAAGAUAACUGAUAGAACUUUAUACAUGUCUUGUCUUGAGAGGAAGUCUCGUGUUUAGUUCUGUGAAUUAUAUUUUCCUGGCGGUCACACGUAAUGUAAAGGAUAACAACGAAACCAUGACAGAAAACAGUCUUGAAGCAUAGGCACCCUAAUUAUGAACAUGAUAUGAAAAGGACCUUCUCUUACUUUUCUUGCAUGAGUUCAAGCUCGGGCACAAUGCCUCCCAAACUGAUGCCAAUAUCAACAGAGGAGAGGGGUCUACAAGUGAUCGCACAAUACGAAGGUGGUUUCAGAAAUUCCGUAGUGGUGAUGAGAGCCUUGAAGAUGAAGAAGGUACAGGACGGCCAUGCAGUCUUGACAAUGAACAACUGAAAGCAAUUGUUGAACAAAACCCACGUCAAAGUGUCAGAGAAAUGUCUCAGGCACUCGGUGUCGGUAUUGUAAUGGUCUCACGCAAUCUGCAGAAGAUUGGUAAGGUGAAAAAGCUCGAUAAAUGGGUACCGCAUGAGCUCAAUGAAAAUCAAAUAGUUUGGCGUUUUGACGUGUGCUCGAUGCUCUUUCUGCGAAACACCAAUGAUCCUUUUCUUGACCGAAUAGUCACUUGUGACGAAAAGUGGAUCCUUUAUGAUAACCGUAAACGAUCGGGUCAAUGACUUGAUCGUGAUGAGUCCCCCGAACAUUUCCCAAAGCCAAAGUUGCACCAGCAAAAGAUUAUGCUGACUGUAAAACUUUAGAUGUGUCAGUAAUAGGUGUUAAUAUUAUGAAUUGGACUCUAAAUGAACUAAUGAGAUGAGAUAGAAAGCUCAAGAAAAAAUAACAACGUUUAGAAUAUACCACCAACAGUUUGACAUAUAAACAUUAUAUUUACUACAAAUAUAGGACAGUAGGGGUCUAAUGGAACUAGAAAACUAUUAUCAAAAGUAAUUGUCACUGGAAUACAAAAUUAUUAAAAAGGAAAAGAAAGAAAGAAUAAUGAAAAGCUAAUAAAAAAUAUCUGCAAACGGGAAUCAACCAGAACAGAAGAGAUUCUUUCUAGUUUCAAAGACUCCAACAACAACAAAAACAGGGAGUGAAAUGACAAUCAUGGAGAAAAAUAAGUCUUCCAACAGAUAAUAAUCUUUUCUACUCUAGGCAUAAGGCCCGAAAUUUUUAGGGAAAGGGCCAAUCGAUUAUAUCGGCCCCAGUACGCAACUGGGACUUAAUUUAUCGACCCUAAAAGGAUGAAAGGCAGUGUCGACCCUGGCGGAAUUUGAAUUCAGAACAUAAAGACGGACGAAACACCGUUAAUCCAACAGAUAAUAAUGUAACUCUCACAAAUAUGAGGAAGCUAUCGCAAAUAGAAAUAUAUGGAAGUAGAGAUAAGCGAUAAUCUGAGUGCGGGGCCUGAAAUCAAAACCAUUCCCAAUGACCAAAUACCAAAGAAUAAGCCUUACAAAAACGUUUUCUCUUUGGUAAGGCCCUCAUCCUACGAAGAGCACUGUCAGCCUUAGAAUAUCUGAAUCUUUUCAAACCGUUUAAAAUCGCAACUAUUACAACAAACUUUUUGUCGAGGUCUAAAUUCUCUGAAACAAAUUCUCUGAAACAAAUAAAACAGCUUCUCAUAAAUAACACCCACAGCAAAACGCCAAACACGCCGUUCCUUGAGAUUUCUGGCUGAGACUGACGCAGCUCGUAUACAGCAAAGCAACAACAACGAGAAUGUUGGUUAUGUUACUGACAAUGAAGACAAACGAUGAUGAUGAUGAUGAUGAUGAUGAUGAUGAUGAUGGUGAUGACGUCGGUGCUGAUGGUAUCUUACACUUAGAAAAUGGUUCCAAAUUUGUUGUGCGACUAUCAGCGUCGCAGAUCCACCCUCAUUAUAUGAAUGAUGAUGAAAGGCUACGAUGACACCCCACCCACCCCCACGCUUCCACCGGUGGGCGAAUUAACAGUCAGUCAGUCCUACAGUCUCCGUUAACCUACCACCAAUGUUAACAUUCUGUUCAUCCGCAUCCUCUUCAUGACUCCCCUCCUCCUCCUCCACCUCACCAUCAUCAUUGUCAUCUUCAAUGUCAUCAUCAUUAUUGUCAUCAUCGUUAUCAACACCACCACCACUAUCAUCAUCAUCAUCAUCAUCUCUACCAAAACCACCACCAUCAACAUCAUCAUCAUCAUCAUCAUCAUCACCACUACCUCCAUCGCCAUCACUACCACCAUCACCUCCGCCACCAUCUUCACUCGUCAUUUUGGCCAAUAUCAUAAUACUCCCAGCGCCAGGGAUUGGUGUUCAAUUUCGGUUUACGACAACCUGGGAGGCGGUAGCGUUGAAGUGCUUUACGGACGCCAUGCUGAGCUGAAGACAGUCAAUUACUAGAAGAGAAAGAUUCACACAGUCUCCCACACUAGUGUGUCAGCACACACACACAUACAAACACACACACACACACACACACACACACACUCACUCACACACACACACAUCACAUACCUACACUCAGGUUAAUAGACUCAGUUAAACAGAACGCACAUGAUCCGCAGACAUUUUGUGUCUAUUCUAAUUUGAGUGUUCA